rnacentral:lncRNA from 1 species
UCGUCUGUAUACAUAUAGUCUUCCCUAUGCAUUAUGUUUUUUGCGUAAUGCAUUAACAGUUGACAGCCUAUCUUAUGAUGUGUACUCUGUUUACAUUACAGUUGUUUAUUAGUUUACUCGUUUGUUUUGCGACUGAUGAAAUGCCGGCAUAUAUAUAUUUUCAACAUUUGACAUAACCCUGUAUGUUUUGCAGGGACAACCCAGGACGUGCAUUUCUCAGCACCCAGUCAACUGCCAAAAGUGACUCAAACACAGGCCACCAGUGGAACUCGGCUGUACCACUGCAGUGCUGCGGAAAUUGCCUUCACCAGCGGCUUUGCAACAGCUGUUUCGCAGCAUGUCGGAGACAAUGCCUACGAAAUUAUUGGCCCUGAUUAUGAGAGCCCUCAAGGGGCAAACAACAUCUCUGUUGCAGAAGUGAGCCCGGUACCACUUGGAAGUUACCAUGACAGAUGACACGGCAGCAAUAGAUACAGAGACUGCCACGUCUACUGCAGCUGCAACAGUGUACGAGGCAAGCAGCAGCGCGUCAGCAGCAGUGUCAGAAGGAACCACACCAGGCCUGGUAGAGCAACAUGUGUGCUAUCACUGACUUUUUUUGUAGUGGAUACAACUCAUUUGCUCAACAUACAAAAGCUUUUCACCACGACUGUGAGCCAGUGUUAUU